ACGCUGGGGCGGAGUCUCGAGAGCCGGCGGAAGCAGCGAGCACAGGCAGGAGCACUGCGGCUGCGGGGGAGGCCUGUCACGUGCGUUUGGAGAACCCGGCGCUAGGGGGCUCUUGAAAGCCAAGUUGGAACCUGGGCAUAACGACCCCAUAGAGUGUCCCUCUGUGCCCGGUCCAGAACGAACUCCCGGAACCAGGAACUUGGAAUCCUUUUGUCACACACCAGUUUGGUACAGAAGAGCAGAAACGUAGAAAUACAGCACGUUUAGAAUUGCUGAAACAUCUGAACAAGAUUUAGGGAAAAAAACCUGAUGUCGUGGGUCAGAACCAGUCACAAACACCAAUAAACUGAAGAAUAAAAUUGGAAUCUUAAAGUAGGCAUGCCCAAAUCCCGUCUCCUAGAAGAUUCUAACAGAUAGACAGUAUUGACCAUCAUACAACUUUAAGAGGAAAUCUGGGACUGGAGAGAUGGCUCAGCAGUUAAGAGCACGGACUGCUCUUCCAGAGGACGCAGGUUCAACUCCCAGCACUCACAUGGCAGCUUACAACUGUCUGUAACCUCAGUCCUGGAGACCUGACACCUUCUCACCAAUGCACAUAAAAUAAAAUAAAAUAAAAUAAAAUAAAAUA